GAUGUGAAUUUUGGUCACGUGCCAACACCUACACUCUUCCUACCAUACCACACUGGACAGGUAAUUGUCUAGUCCCUCCUGAACCACUGGUCACCUCCCCAAGCUGUUAAGAGGAGCGAGGGGAGCAGUGAAUAGCAACAGACAUUCUAAAGGUGAGCCAGUGACUGGAAUCCAGGAAUUGGUGCUCAGGAGGUAGAGAAGCAUCCCGGAGAACUGAGCCGCCUUCACUUCUGGCUGCAGGUCUAGGCCUUUCUGCUCUCAUCAUUGGCUAGUGAACUGCUCCGCCGACCUCAUCAAAGAGUCUGUCUUCUAUCAUGUGAAGGGAUCUUCCCUAGUGUCCAAGGUCUACCAAACUUGUCCCGUCAUUUCCUGGUAUUUCCUUGUCACCUCCUGGGCUUUCUCGGUGAGGUGCAUGAGGAUGUGAUGGAGGCUGGAGAAGUGCAG
rnacentral:lncRNA from 1 species